CUCCCCUCCUCCCCUCCGGUAGGGGUGUGUUGAGGGAGACCGGGAUCGGCCUGGGGCCAACAUGAACCAAAGGGAGGGAAGUCUGGAAGACCCCCAGGCUGACUUCUCAAUCUCAUUCCUUCCGCAUUUGGAGGCCAAGAUCCGCCAGACACACAACCUUGCACGCCUCCUGGCCAAAUAUGCAGAGCAGCUGCUAGAGGAGUAUGUGCAGCAGCAGGGAGACCCCUUCGGGCUGCCGGGCUUCUCACCACCGCGGCUGGCACUGGCCGGCCUGAGUGGCCCGGCCCCGAGCCACGCGGGGCUACCGCUGUCCGAGCGGCUGCGUCUGGACGCGGCUGCCCUGGGUGCGCUGCCCGCGCUGUUGGAUGCUGUGCGCCGCCGCCAGGCGGAGCUGAACCCGCGCGCCCCGCGCCUGCUGCGGAGCCUGGAGGACGCGGCCCGCCAGGCUCGGGCUCUGGGAGCCGCGGUGGAGACGGUGCUGGCCGCUCUGGGCGCAGCCGCCCGCGGGCCGGGGUCGGAGCCCGCCGCCGCCGCCGCCGCCGCCCUCUCCCCGGCCAACAGCGCUGCGGGCGUCUUCUCGGCCAAGGUGCUGGGGCUCCACGUGUGCGGCCUCUAUGGCGAGUGGGUGAGCCGCACCGAGGGCGACCUGAGCCAGCUGGUGCCCGGGGGCGUCUCCUGAGGCCUCCUGAGUAAUGGGAUCGUGUUGAUUGUUUUCCAUCUGAAUAUGUGCUGACAAAUUAUCCUCUCCAAUCCCUGAUGCAGCUCUCGCUCCCAUCAGCAGAGUGAGGCUCACCCACCUGGGCAGGAGGAAGAAACUCACUGUCCGGCAUGAUGGAUUCCUGGGCUUCCAAAACGAUGGGGCUGGAGGGGACCUCGAAAAAAUAACUGCCGUCACAUGCCCCGUACCAGAACUGGUUACUUUCUUGAACACUUAACGCUAACUGCUGGGAGGUGACAUCCGUUCUCCACUGGAGAAUGAAAGCCUGAGACUACAUUUCCCUGCAAGCCCUUUAGAAAAGAAGGCCAGGAGGAAAUAGACUUUCCGUUUCCGUUCGCUUGCAAUUUGGCGUGUUCGCGGUGAUACAUAUUUCAACACUAGCAUCCUUUCUCUGUACAGCUAAAGAAGACACUACAUACCCCAGAAGGUACUGGCACCGAGGGCAAGCGACUAGGUUGCCAUCUCGACAGCAGUCCUUUCCUACUUAUCCUCAGAGAAUAGUCUUAGCCGUUGGACUACAAAUCCCAUAGCAUCGUCUGCUCUUUCACCCGCCAUCUUGGCGGUAGUCCCCGCCCCUCUCACUUCCAUUGUCUCCACAGAAGAUAAAAGAGGGGAGCGGGGAAGACUACAAUUCCCGGCCGGCUCUGCACCACUGAGUGCGGGAUUUUGAUAGUUCAGGCGGGCGAGGCGCUCCAAGUGCUAGAAUGAAGCGACCAGGCAAGGUUAGGUAGCCUGCCAUCUUUAUGGUAGUCUCUUUAUGCUCCUGGUUCUGGCAUUCUUAAGGAACACAGGAAAGCUAGAAAACUACUAUUCCCAUCCCACUUCAUAAGCUCGACUUAUUAGGUAUACGCCCCUCGUUCGCCAUCUUGCUUGUAGUCCUCGUUCCUUUUCACCUUUCCAUUGUUCCUGACGAGUAGAAAUGGCAGCGGGAAGGCAGCAGAUGGACUGCGACUCCCGUCAGGUACCACACACGCGGAGGGUUGUGGACCAGAGGGCGUGUGAGUGCCUGGAAAGGAGGUCGGGUCGGGGGAAAAGGCCAUCUUGUUUGUAGUCAUCGUUCCCGCUCCUUCUCUAUGUCCUGCUACGGGGAAUCUCGGGUCAACUGGACUAUAAUUCCCGCCAUGCUCGGCUCCCAGCGUGGCAUGCUUUUCGCCAUCUUAUUUGUAGUGCCGGCUGGCCCCAGCAUCCCAUUUUUCCCACGCUAGCGCCAGAAUUUGCAGGACUACAUCUCCCGUCGUGCUUUGCACGCGCUCGUCCUGGAAAGUAGAGGUGGUGGAAGAAGGAGGGAGAAGGGGGCGGGGUUCCUCUGGGAGAAGGAGGGAGUAAAAAGGAGGAGGAGGUGGGAAGGAGGGAGGGGAGAGGGAGGAGAGGAGGAAGGAGGAAGGAGCUGAGGAGGGAUGAGAGCGGCGACCAGGGCCCGGGGCCGAAGCAGCGCGAGGCUAGGGGUCUAGGGGUGCUGAGACACCCCAACUGCCCCCACCCCCUUCCUGCCUCUGCCCCAUCCUUUCCUUACACCCUCCCAUUUUAGGAGAGGAUUUAUUCAAAUUUUAUUUAAAUCCCCAUAUCUGGAGGGUCGCGCGUUUGAAGGGGGGAGGGCGGGGGCGCGCGCGCAAGCUGGGGGGGGCGGGGCCGGAGCAGCUUCCUUCACCCCCCUCUGCGCGCCCUGUCUCUGUAGGUCAGGGGGCCGCAGUACAGGGGCGGGCCCAGGGGAGGGGGGCAGGUUGCAGUGACCCCCCCCUCCCCGGGAACCGGCGGUGGGCGGGGUUUGAACCCCGGAAACGGUGGGGGGCCCCCGGGUCUGUCCCUGGACCCCUGGGCAGUUGGAGCUGGGAAGGGGCCAGUUAAGGGUCGGGGGCUUUGGGGAGAGGUGGGGGUGGGGAGCUGAGACUCGUACCCGGGACUGAGUGGGGCCCGGGCAGAAGCUGAGCACCCUGCGCCCGAGGAGCCCCCGUUGGCCUGGGGGGGCUGAGGGACUGAGCCCCCCAGAGCAGGACCUCCCCCUGGAAGGGCCGCGCCGCAGCC